UUGGAGGGCAAGUCUGGUGCCAGCAGCCGCGGUAAUUCCAGCUCCAAUAGCGUAUAUUAAAGUUGUUGCAGUUAAAAAGCUCGUAGUUGAAUUUCGGGAUCAAUCUGUUGGUCGUGCCUUUGGUACGUACUAGCUUAUUGAUUUCUCCCUUCUGACGAACCAUGAUGUCAUUAAUUUGGUGUCAUGGGGAAUCAGGACUGUUACUUUGAAAAAAUUAGAGUGUUUAAAGCAGGCUCACGCUUGAAUACAUUAGCAUGGAGUAAUGAAAUAGGACGUUUUGAUUCUAUUUUGUUGGUUUCUAGGAUCGACGUAAUGAUUAAUAGGGAUAGUUGGGGGCAUUAGUAUUCAAUUGUCAGAGGUGAGAUUCUUGGAUUUAUUGAAGGCUAACUACUGCGAAAGCAUUUGCCAAGGAUGUUUUCAUUAAUCAAGAACGAAAGUUAGGGGAUCGAAGACGAUCAGAUACCGUCGUAGUCUUAACCAUAAACUAUGCCGACUAGGGAUCGGAUGAUGUUAAUUUUUAAUGGCUCAUUCGGCGCCUUACGGGAAACCAAAGUGUUUGGGUUC
rnacentral:rRNA from 1 species